rnacentral:lncRNA from 1 species
CCAGGAUGAACAAAUAAGACAGGAUUUAUUGGCAGGAUUGAAUUGGGGCAGGGUAGGGGGCCCAGCAGGAUGUGUGGCCGGAGCACACUGCAUAGUUCCAACCUGCACCCCCCCUCCAUGAGUGCCACGGGGGGUGGGUCCCAUGAGCCAUGGCCUGCUACGUAAUUGGUGUUUAAUAAAUAUCUCUUGGGUGCAUAAAGGGAAUUUUUAAAAACUUAGUAGCAGAAGUUAGAAAAAGAAAUCUUGGUUGGUGGGGAGCUGUUUCCAAGAGACGAAACGGACUGAUUUUAAGCCUGGAAACCCCCCCUGAGUGGCCCUCUGCAGGCGGGACGGCCCCGCGGGCGCCCAGGCUGUCGCUGACGAUUGAUGUUCUCACCCCCGCCCGCCUCGGCUCUGGCCGCAGAAGGAAGGAAGCUGACGUUUAUUGAGGGUCUGCUCUGGGCUGCGUACCGUACACGGGUGACAUCGCCAAUUUCCCCCAGGUGUGUCAUGCCUUCCCCACUGUCUGGAUAAGGAAACUCUAGCCCAGAGAGGGGAGGCGACUUGGCUCAGGUAGCACAGCCAGAAGGUAUCAGAGUCAGGAUUCAGACCUUCGUCCAUGGGCCGCCCAAAAAAUUGCCAUUCCCGAGGUCACCAUGGGCUCACUCCAUCCCCUUUUGCUUCCUGUUGGCAGGUGAUAAGGAACAAUAUGGACUUCUUGCAGCUCCGGGAGGCAGACGCUGGAGGGCUGGUGACCUGAUCCCACAAAGCCCCGGAGGUGCUGUGGACCAACUUGCAACACAAGACGCUAGGAGGGAGGACGGCUGUUGGCAUCUGUUGACCACAAACACGUUUGCUGUGCACACUUGUGCACAUGGGGGCAGUGGCCCAGGCUGACCACCUCCCUGCCUUCCUGAUCCCCUGGCCUCACCUCCACAAUGGAUGGGUCUUCAGGCUCCAGA